AUCUUGCACAAUGGGCGAAAGCCUGAUGCAGCGACGCCGCGUGGGUGAGGAAGUUCUUCGGAAUGUAAAGCCCUUUUACCGGGGACGAUCACAGACGGUACCCGGUGAAUAAGCCCCGGCUAACUACGUGCCAGCAGCCGCGGUAAUACGUAGGGGGCGAGCGUUGUCCGGAUUUACUGGGCGUAAAGAGCGCGUAGGCGGAAGCUUAAGUGUGGCCUGAAAGCCCCCGGCUCAACCGGGGAGGGUGGCUGCAAACUGGGCUUCUAGAGGGGGAUAGAGGAAAGUGGAAUUCCGGGUGUAGCGGUGAAAUGCGUAGAGAUCCGGAGGAACACCAGUGGCGAAGGCGGCUUUCUGGGUCCGCCCUGACGCUGAGGCGCGAAAGCGUGGGGAGCGAACGGG
rnacentral:rRNA from 1 species